AGCAACUUGACGCAGUGGAAGCGUGCAGGGCUCAUAGUCUUGACACCCUGAAGUCCCUGGAUCGAAACCAGGAGUUGCUA
rnacentral:tRNA from 1 species